rnacentral:lncRNA from 1 species
CUGCAGAAUAUUUGUGGCCUCUCUCAGAGCCUGGGAGACACACUUGACAUAGUGAGGACAGGUCACCUGUAUCAACCCUCCCCCAGAAUUAGGUUGCUAUUAGUUGACUCCAGGGAUAUCACUUACCUCUAUCUGAUGAGAUGAGCAAGUGGCCUUUAUGCAGCUGCCAUCACAUCACCCUGAAGGCUGAAGUUUAGCUCCAGAGACUAGCAGUGGAUGAAAAUGGAGAGAGAGAACUAAGGUGCUGGAGAAAAACGUGUGAACAAGGCAGACAUAGUCCCUGCCUUCAAGGAGAUUACAGUCUACUGAGGAAGGGAGAUAUUGGACAAACACAUACAAAAGAGAAAAACAGGUGCAAUGAAUGUGCAUGAUAAGGGGUCCUAACCUGGCCAGGGGAAUGAAGGAAGGCUUCCUAAAGGAUAAGAAGUUCAAGGUAAGA